rnacentral:lncRNA from 1 species
GCAGCAGGAUGAGACAUGCCUACGGUCCUGUAGGAUCUUUUAUUUUCUAACUUUUUGGGUUGUAUCCAUACCAAAGUUGUGUGAUCGACCACUUGUGCCAAACAAAAAAAUAUUCAUAAAGAUAUUCUCCCUCUAAAAUAAAAAAUUAUAGAGAUAUACUCUCUCUAAAGUAAGAAACUUGUCAAUUUAGGAAAAUGUAAAAACCAAAAUAAGAUCCCUUAGUUGAAGAAAUAACAUUCAGUUAAUUAUGCCAAGAAAAUAUGCCAUAGCAGUAAUCACUAUAUUAGGAAAGAAAAUACGCCUUACCUAUGAUCACUAAAU